GCUCAGUGGUCUGUUCUUUAUGGGGGAGUUUGCUGCCGACAGCCCUGGACUCUGCCUUGAAGAUCAUGCCCUAUGGGUGGCCUCCCGGGUGCUCCGCCAACGCCUGCCAGCUCUCCGGCUGGGCUCCUGCUCUUGUCCUCCGCGGGCUGCAUUUUUGGGUCAUUCACCUGUUUCCCUGCUGAGUGCUGUGGUGGAGAGCCUUGGCCAAGUGCCCCUGACCUGAGUAUGGGGACAAGUUCCCUGGGGCUGGCCUUCUGGGCCUGUGGAGCAUGCACCUGUCAGGUGUGGCUGCUUAGGGCCACGCCAGCGAUGGUGGAGACACCUGGGUCCUCGGGGGCUGUUGGACUUUGCCGCUGACGGGUGGUGAAAGAUGCUGUUGCACUGGCCGUUUUCGAGUGGCCCCAGUGCACAGACCCAGGUCGACUUGACCUUCAGUUGCUGCCAAGGUGUGACUGGCUCCCCUUCCUGCAUGAUCCUCUCCUGCGGCCAUGGUCGCGGGGACUGCGUUCCUCCAGGCGUUCUGCUCCCAACCUCCCUCUCUUUCCCGUCCCACACUGGCCUCCUUGUUAUCCAUUCCUGGGCGCUCUCUUGCCAAGUAGACAUUUAUUUUCUCUGAAUUUUUAUGUGGUCACUAUUUUUAUUGUGGCUGUGAGUCUCCUUGUGCCUCCUUACAGAGCCUCUGGGAAAUGCCAUUACGCAGGCGGAAUGUCCCAUUUCUAUUUUAGGGAGGCUUAAGGGGUCAAGGCACUGCGUUGGAGCCCCAUGUGGCCCCACCUUGGCCCUGAGCAGGCCGAGCCACCCCUGGGGCACACAGCACUGUGUGGACUGGGCUGGGCCUACCCUCGUGGCCCUGCUAAGCCCGACACCUCCUG
rnacentral:lncRNA from 1 species